rnacentral:rRNA from 1 species
UACGUAGGGUGCGAGCGUUGUCCGGAAUUAUUGGGCGUAAAGGGCUCGUAGGCGGUUUGUCGCGUCGGGAGUGAAAACACACAGCUUAACUGUGUGCUUGCUUCCGAUACGGGCAGACUAGAGGUAUGCAGGGGAGAACGGAAUUCCUGGUGUAGCGGUGAAAUGCGCAGAUAUCAGGAGGAACACCCGUGGCGAAGGCGGUUCUCUGGGACGGUACUGACGCUGAGACGCGAAAGCGUGGGGAGCGAACAGG